rnacentral:rRNA from 1 species
UACAGAGGUCUCAAGCGUUGUUCGGAUUCAUUGGGCGUAAAGGGUGCGUAGGUGGCGGGGUAAGUCUGGUGUGAAAUCCUGGGGCUCAACCCCGGAACUGCACUGGAUACUGCUUUGCUAGAGUGCUGGAGAGGGAACUGGAAUUUACGGUGUAGCAGUGAAAUGCGUAGAUAUCGUAAGGAAGACCAGUGGCGAAGGCGGGUCUCUGGGCCGAUACUGACGCUGAGGAGCGAAAGCGUGGGGAGCGAACAGG